UACGGGGGGAGCAAGCGUUGUUCGGAUUUACUGGGCGUAAAGGGCGCGUAGGCGGCUGUGACAAGUCACUUGUGAAAUCUCCGGGCUUAACUCGGAACGGUCAAGUGAUACUGUCGGACUAGAGUACAGAAGGGGCAACUGGAAUUCUCGGUGUAGCGGUGAAAUGCGUAGAUAUCGAGAGGAACACCUGCGGCGAAGGCGGUUGCUGGCUGAUACUGACGCUGAUGCGCGAAGCCAGGGGAGCGAACGGG
rnacentral:rRNA from 1 species